rnacentral:rRNA from 1 species
GUGUCAGCCGCCGCGGUAAUACGGAGGAUCCAAGCGUUAUCCGGAUUCAUUGGGUUUAAAGGGUGCGUAGGCGGACUGAUAAGUCAGCGGUGAAAUCUCUCGGCUUAACCGAGAAACUGCCGUUGAUACUGUCAGUCUUGAGUACAGAUGAUGUGGGCGGAAUAUGACAUGUAGUGGUGAAAUACUUAGAUAUGUCAUAGAACACCGAUUGCGAAGGCAGCUCACAAAACUGUCACUGACGCUGAGGCACGAAAGCGUGGGGAUCAAACAGGAUUAGAAACCCCCGUAGUCC